AAUGGGUGUGAAAAACACCCACGCCGAAAGACCAAGGUUUCCUGCGCAACGUUAAUCGACGCAGGGUUAGUCGGUCCCUAAGGCGAGGCUGAAAAGCGUAGUCGAUGGAAAACAGGUUAAUAUUCCUGUACUUCUGGUUAUUGCGAUGGAGGGACGGAGAAGGCUAGGCCAGCUUGGCGUUGGUUGUCCAAAUUUAAGGUGGUAGGCUGGAAUCUUAGGUAAAUCCGGGAUUCUAAGGCCGAGAGCUGAUGACGAGUGUACUUUUAGUACACGAAGUGGUUGAUGCCAUGCUUCCAAGAAAAGCUUCUAAGCUUCAGGUAACCAGGAACCGUACCCCAAACCGACACAGGUGGUUGGGUAGAGAAUACCAAGGCGCUUGAGAGAACUCAGGUGAAGGAACUAGGCAAAAUGGCACCGUAACUUCGGGAGAAGGUGCGCCGGUGAGGGUGAAGCAUUUACUGCGUAAGCCCAUGCCGGUCGAAGAUACCAGGCCGCUGCGACUGUUUAUUAAAAACACAGCACUCUGCAAACACGAAAGUGGACGUAUAGGGUGUGACGCCUCCCCGGUGCCGGAAGGUUAAUUGAUGGGGUUAGCUAACGCGAAGCUCUUGAUCGAAGCCCCGGUAAACGGCGGCCGUAACUAUAACGGUCCUAAGGUAGCGAAAUUCCUUGUCGGGUAAGUUCCGACCUGCACGAAUGGCGUAACGAUGGCGGCGCUGUCUCCACCCGAGACUCAGUGAAAUUGAAAUCGCUGUGAAGAUGCAGUGUAUCCGCGGCUAGACGGAAAGACCCCGUGAACCUUUACUAUAGCUUUGCACUGGACUUUGAAUUUGCUUGUGUAGGAUAGGUGGGAGGCUUUGAAGCGUGGACGCCAGUUCGCGUGGAGCCAACCUUGAAAUACCACCCUGGCAACUUUGAGGUUCUAACUCAGGUCCGUUAUCCGGAUCGAGGACAGUGUAUGGUGGGUAGUUUGACUGGGGCGGUCUCCUCCUAAAGAGUAACGGAGGAGUACGAAGGUGCGCUCAGACCGGUCGGAAAUCGGUCGUAGAGUAUAAAGGCAAAAGCGCGCUUGACUGCGAGACAGACACGUCGAGCAGGUACGAGAGUAGGUCUUAGUGAUCCGGUGGUUCUGUAUGGAAGGGCCAUCGCUCAACGGAUAAAAGGUACUCCGGGGAUAACAGGCUGAUACCGCCCAAGAGUUCAUAUCGACGGCGGUGUUAGGCACCUCGACGUCGGCUCAUCACAUCCUGGGGCUGAAGCCGGUCCCAAGGGUAUGGCUGUUCGCCAUUUAAAGUGGUACGCGAGCUGGGUUUAGAACGUCGUGAGACAGUUCGGUCCCUAUCUGCCGUGGACGUUUGAGAUUUGAGAGGGGCUGCUCCUAGUACGAGAGGACCGGAGUGGACGAACCUCUGGUGUUCCGGUUGUCACGCCAGUGGCAUUGCCGGGUAGCUAUGUUCGGAAUAGAUAACCGCUGAAAGCAUCUAAGCGGGAAACUAGCCUCAAGAUGAGAUCUCACUGGGACCUUGAGUCCCCUGAAGGGCCGUCGAAGACUACGACGUUGAUAGGUUGGGUGUGUAAGCGCUGUGAGGCGUUGAGCUAACCAAUACUAAUUGCCCGUGAGGCUUGACC
rnacentral:rRNA from 1 species